UACGUAGGGUGCAAGCGUUGUCCGGAAUUAUUGGGCGUAAAGAGCUCGUAGGCGGUUUGUCGCGUCUGCUGUGAAAACCUAAGGCUCAACCUUGGGCUUGCAGUGGGUACGGGCAGACUAGAGUGCGGUAGGGGGUGACUGGAAUUCCUGGUGUAGCGGUGGAAUGCGCAGAUAUCAGGAGGAACACCGAUGGCGAAGGCAGGUCACUGGGCCGCAACUGACGC
rnacentral:rRNA from 1 species